GUUUGUAAAUUUCAGAUUUGCCUAUUCACCCCCCUCUAGGCGACUUUCAGAUAUACUCCCUCCAUUUUUAUAUAUGAUGUUUUGUAGUUCAAAAAUAAAUAUUUAGAAAUGGAGGUAGUAUUAUAUUUAUAGCAUGGAUAAGUAUAGUACGUUUGGAUUUUUCUAUUUAUAGCAUGGAUAAGUAUAGAAAGUUUGGAUCUCUUUGUUUUUGUUGUAACCAGCUUGCAGAUGACUUGUGUACUAAGUUUAGCUUAAUGUAUAAACUACCGGUGACCAGGGCUAGCCCUAGGGCCAUGCAGCGGAGGCGACCGUCGGGGGGUCAGGAAAGAAAGGGGCCUAAUAUGUAAUAGAAUAGUAGUGUUAAUGUUAAAUUAUUGUCUUGUGAAAUCGCAUAGAAGCGAAAGAGAGGACACACACAUUAGGCUAAAGCGUCGGUUAAAGGCCUCCUACACCGCUGCACAGAACCAGUCUCGUCCUCACUGUCAUCGCCGAUCACAUGUCACAGGCUCGCAACUCCCUGAUCUUAGAUGUUACCAAAGAAGUAUCUUUUCAUGAGAAGCAAUGGAUGUGAUGGAGUUAUAUUCUUCAUUAAGGUUUUGUUGGCAAUAUGAGCUGCACAGUUUGAAGGCUUUCUUGAUGGCUCUAAACGUGAUCCAUUGAAGACAUUGUCAAUUAAAAAUGAUUCUAAUAUGACAGAGGUUGCAAACCCUAUUAUAUAAAUUGGCGUGUUCGUGAUCCAUACGUCCCGAUGUAUCUUGUCUCCUUACUCUCUUAUAAGAUGCUCUCUGGAAUUCCUUUAUGUUUCAUAACAACUGCUCCGUGGACAACAA